AGAGUUUGAUCCUGGCUCAGAACGAACGCUGGCGGCGUGGAUAAGACAUGCAAGUCGGACGGGAUUUUCCGUUGUAGCAAUACGAUGGAAAGUCUAGUGGCGAACGGGUGCUUAACACGUGGGCAACCUGCCAGGAAGUGGGGGAUAGCUCGCCGAAAGGCGAAUUAAUACCGCAUGUGAUUAGAGAGGACAUCCUUUCGAAAUUAAAGUCGGGGCAACCUGACGCUUCUUGUGGGGCCCGCGGCCUAUCAGCUAGUUGGUGAGGUAACGGCUCACCAAGGCUUUGACGGGUAGCUGGUCUGAGAGGACGACCAGCCGCACUGGGACUGAGACACGGCCCAGACACCUACGGGUGGCAGCAGUCGAGAAUUUUUGACAAUGGGGGAAACCCUGAUCGAGCGACGCCGCGUGGAGGAUGAAGGUCUUCGGAUUGUAAACUCCUGUCAUUGGGGAACAAGGUGCAUACGUUAACUGCGUGUGCAUUGAUAGUACCCGAAGAGGAAGAGACGGCUAACUCUGUGCCAGCAGCCGCGGUAAUACAGAGGUCUCAAGCGUUGUUCGGAUUCAUUGGGCGUAAAGGGUGCGUAGGCGGCGCGGUAAGUCGGGUGUGAAAUCUCGGAGCUUAACUCCGAAACUGCAUUCGAUACUGCCGUGCUUGAGGACUGGAGAGGAGACUGGAAUUUACGGUGUAGCGGUGAAAUGCGUAGAUAUCGUAAGGAAGACCAGUGGCGAAGGCGGGUCUCUGGACAGUUCCUGACGCUGAGGCACGAAGGCCAGGGGAGCAAACGGGAUUAGAUACCCUAGUAGUCC
rnacentral:rRNA from 1 species